UACGAAGGGUGCAAGCGUUACUCGGAAUUACUGGGCGUAAAGCGUGCGUAGGUGGUUCGUUAAGUCUGAUGUGAAAGCCCUGGGCUCAACCUGGGAAUGGCAUUGGAAACUGGCGACCUAGAGUGCGGUAGAGGGUAGUGGAAUUCCCGGUGUAGCAGUGAAAUGCGUAGAGAUCGGGAGGAACAUCCGUGGCGAAGGCGACUACCUGGACAACUGUUGACGCUGAGGUGCGAAAGCGUGGGGAGCAAACAGG
rnacentral:rRNA from 1 species